rnacentral:tRNA from 1 species
GGGGCCGUAGUCUAGCCAGGUAUGACGACGGGCUCCAGACCCGUAGGUCGCCGGUUCAAAUCCGGUCGGCCCCACCA